rnacentral:rRNA from 1 species
CCUACGGGAGGCUGCAGUGGGGAAUAUUGGACAAUGGGGGGAACCCUGAUCCAGCCAUGCCGCGUGUGUGAAGAAGGCCCUCGGGUCGUAAAGCACUUUCAGUGAGGAAGAACGCCUGGUGGUUAAUACCCAUCAGGAAAGACAUCACUCACAGAAGAAGCACCGGCUAACUCCGUGCCAGCAGCCGCGGUAAUACGGAGGGUGCGAGCGUUAAUCGGAAUUACUGGGCGUAAAGCGCGCGUAGGUGGCUUGAUAAGCCGGUUGUGAAAGCCCCGGGCUCAACCUGGGAACGGCAUCCGGAACUGUCAAGCUAGAGUGCAGGAGAGGAAGGUAGAAUUCCCGGUGUAGCGGUGAAAUGCGUAGAGAUCGGGAGGAAUACCAGUGGCGAAGGCGGCCUUCUGGACUGACACUGACACUGAGGUGCGAAAGCGUGGGUAGCAAACAGGAUUAGAUACCCCGGUAGUC